GAUGAACGCUGGCGGCGUGCCUAAUACAUGCAAGUCGAGCGAACAGACGAGGAGCUUGCUCCUCUGACGUUAGCGGCGGACGGGUGAGUAACACGUGGAUAACCUACCUAUAAGACUGGGAUAACUUCGGGAAACCGGAGCUAAUACCGGAUAAUAUAUUGAACCGCAUGGUUCAAUAGUGAAAGACGGUUUUGCUGUCACUUAUAGAUGGAUCCGCGCCGCAUUAGCUAGUUGGUAGGGUAACGGCUUACCAAGGCAACGAUGCGUAGCCGACCUGAGAGGGUGAUCGGCCACACUGGAACUGAGACACGGUCCAGACUCCUACGGGAGGCAGCAGUAGGGAAUCUUCCGCAAUGGGCGAAAGCCUGACGGAGCAACGCCGCGUGAGUGAUGAAGGUCUUCGGAUCGUAAAACUCUGUUAUUAGGGAAGAACAAAUGUGUAAGUAACUAUGCACGUCUUGACGGUACCUAAUCAGAAAGCCACGGCUAACUACGUG
rnacentral:rRNA from 1 species